rnacentral:lncRNA from 1 species
CUGAUCCCAUGCUGAUUCGAUUGAAAUCGAUGGAUAGCCAUUAUGUGGCAUAACCGAAUAGACUGAAAUCAUAUUUUCAGGAAGUGCAUUUAUGAGUGCAUCUCUAAAGGCAUACAUGAUGCCUCAAAUCUGAUCAAAUCUUUAAUAACCACCACCUGACAUUUUUUUGUAAACCUCACCAACUCCCUGACAUGAUAGUUCAGUCCACCCAAAAGUCACAGGCAUGCCAUUUUGCCCAAG